rnacentral:tRNA from 1 species
GUCCACGUGGUGGAAUUGGUAGACACGCCAUCUUGAGGGGGUGGUGCCGCAAGGUGUAGGAGUUCGACUCUCCUCGUGGACA